UACGUAGGGUGCAAGCGUUGUCCGGAAUUAUUGGGCGUAAAGAGCUCGUAGGCGGUUUGUCGCGUCUGCUGUGAAAACUCGGGGCUUAACUCCGGGCCUGCAGUGGGUACGGGCAGACUAGAGUGCGGUAGGGGAGACUGGAAUUCCUGGUGUAGCGGUGAAAUGCGCAGAUAUCAGGAGGAACACCCGUGGCUAAGGCGGCUCUCUAGUACGUGACUGACGCUGAGACGCGAAAGCGUGGGGAGCGAACAGG
rnacentral:rRNA from 1 species